rnacentral:rRNA from 1 species
UGGGGAAUAUUGCACAAUGGGCGCAAGCCUGAUGCAGCCAUGCCGCGUGUAUGAAGAAGGCCUUCGGGUUGUAAAGUACUUUCAGCGGGGAGGAAGGGAGUAAAGUUAAUACCUUUACUCAUUGACGUUACCCGCAGAAGAAGCACCGGCUAACUCCGUGCCAGCAGCCGCGGUAAUACGGAGGGUGCAAGCGUUAAUCGGAAUUACUGGGCGUAAAGCGCACGCAGGCGGUUUGUUAAGUCAGAUGUGAAAUCCCCGGGCUAAACCUGGGAACUGCAUCUGAUACUGGCAAGCUUGAGUCUCGUAGAGGGGAGUAGAAUUCCAGGUGUAGCGGUGAAAUGCGUAGAGAUCUGGAGGAAUACCGGUGGCGAAGGCGGCCCCCUGGACGAAGACUGACGCUCAGGUGCGAAAGCGUGGGGAGCAAACAGG